rnacentral:rRNA from 1 species
AUUGAACGCUGGCGGCAUGCUUUACACAUGCAAGUCGAACGGUAACAGGUCUUCGGAUGCUGACGAGUGGCGAACGGGUGAGUAAUGCAUCGGAACGUGCCCAGUCGUGGGGGAUAACGCAGCGAAAGCUGUGCUAAUACCGCAUACGAUCUACGGAUGAAAGCGGGGGAUCGCAAGACCUCGCGCGAUUGGAGCGGCCGAUAUCAGAUUAGGUAGUUGGUGGGGUAAAGGCCUACCAAGCCGACGAUCCUUAGCUGGUCUGAGAGGAUGAUCAGCCACACUGGGACUGAGACACGGCCCAGACUCCUACGGGAGGCAGCAGUGGGGAAUAUUGGACAAUGGGGGGCAACCCUGAUCCAGCAAUGCCGCGUGAGUGAUGAAGGCCUUAGGGUCGUAAAGCUCUUUUACCAGGGAAUGAUAAUGACAGUACCUGGAGAAUAAGCUCCGGCUAACUCCGUG